GACAUUUUCCCUUAUUUAUCUCUCUUGUCUCUUACAGGUCUGAAGUUUCCCGAUGCUGAUCAGCGAUACGACGAGUGCGUCGGAGACACGGCUGCUGGGCUGCACAUCGCGCACUUAUUGGCUCACGCGAUAAUCGUUUUCGGCUGUAAUGGAAAUUUCGGUUCUAGCCUGCAGCUUUUUGCCCGCUGAAAUUUGCAUUUCCGCGCGAGGGGGCUGCUGCCGGCUAAUGGAUACUUUGCUUGUAUAUGCACACUCGAGAGAGAGAGAGAGAGAGAGAGAGAGAGAGAGCAUCAUUAUGCAAUAUCAGCUGAUUCAGUUGUUCGACCUACUUCUGCUUCGAAUUAUACGUAUACACUCGAUUGUUUACAAUUAAAACGGCUUUUCAUAGAAUCACAAUAAGCUAGUCUCGUAUCAAAAUGAUUUUAAUAUAUAUCCUGCGCAGAGACUGAAAUAGCGGCGAACGAUUGAUCCCUAAAAGCUCCUGAAAUAAGCUAUCUCUCUGUAGAGAUACGCCGCAGAUAGUAGAACACCGAUCCAUAAAAGCUUUUCUUCAUUUUUAAUACACCUUCUGUACAACACACUCGACAGGGAAGCUCUCGGAUUAUGCAAGUCCUUGCGGCACAUCGUAAUGCAAUUAAAAAGUUGCUCGACCUCGUUUCCACCGAAAUUCCAAAACAAGGAUAAACAACGACCAGCUUCGCGACAAAGUCUCGCCGCGAGGAAAGAAACAGAAGGAGAGACGCACGGGUGAUUAACGCGAGGCGCUUACUCUGCUUUAUGGAUUAUUCAGAAGCGACUCGGAGGCAUUGUCCCGCGAGUUUAUAAAUAGUGUAGGCGCACUUGGCCGCAACUUAGAUGCUUUUGAGAUACGAUGUCGUCCGCGUGGAUUUACGAGAGACCGUUUCGUUCCGCUGCGUAGGUGUGUGUGUGUGUGUGUGUAGUCUAGUUUAUAAGUGGGAUUAGCGACUGAUUGCAGAGACGAAACGAUUGAAGCUUCGCCAUCCGUGAUACGUCGUCGAAAUAGAAUCUAACCGUAUGCAAGCCUCUGGUCCAUAUCGGAGAUGAAAACGAAGAGGAAAUCUCCCGCGCGUCCCUUUUACUUUUACGAGUGUAUAACCCAGAUAUAUCCGCAACCCCCAGCGGACCUCCACCGAGGUGUGUAAUGAAGGAAAUGGAGUGUCCUUUUUUAUCACGCGCUGCGCAUAAGCGCGAGUCUAUGUGAUAUAUCUGCGGUUUUCGAUGGAAAAGGAUUGGAUCUCGAUGGGACAUAAUGGGAGGGAAAUUGAAGAUUCCUUCGCCGCCCCCGAGGCUGGCUUCUUGUGUAAAGACUUCUUCUCUCUCUCUCUCUCUCUCCCUCUCUCUCUUGCGAUCGAACGGCGAUAAUUGGAUGGGACGAUUGGUGUAAUUGCUCGGCGCUGUGUAAUCCUGUUUUCUCCGAUGAUUUAUCGCGGAAUAUGUUUAAAAUACGUGAUUGACGAGUUAAUUCGCGCAAACUCUGCGGACCACAACGACCUUCUAUUUUUACCGGGAGGAAGAAAAAACACUGGGCUGCUGCCAAUUCCAAAAAGUAGACUAAUGAAAAAUUCCAGGGAGUCUCUCUGCAAGACGAAUGAAUCCCUCCGAAUCGAGUUUUGACCUUACACAAUGCGCGGAGUCACGUGUUUUCGGCGGCGACCUUUACACUCCUGACACGGAAAUCGCGCUUUGAAAAGAACGAGGUUUAUUCAGCGAGUAAUAUUCAUCUAUAUAAUUUUGUCUCCUGCGAGGAAAAGUUACGUGAAUCUCUAUAUAAGAAGCUAAUCUGACGUUCGCAGUAAAUUUCAGUAUACUCUGCUGCAAGGAUCACCAUUAAUCUUUCCCGUAUUUCAAAUUGAAUUCAGCUAUACAGCUUCGAACGUUAUUAAAACUAGUGCUUGUACGCGUCGUGUUUAUUUUCUCGGUAGUCGAGUAUACCGAGUAUACACUGCAGUUGAUUUUUCCACAUUUCUAACCAGCCGCAGAUAAUACACGAGACCAUAAAGCAAACACUCGGGUUCUACAGCUCGAUAAACUUUACGAUCCUUUCUCUCUUCACUUCGGACGCGUCGAUGGAGGCUGUGCGAAAGGUCUGAUUGAAAAGUCCGCCCGCCUAUACACACACACACACACCUACGUAUCGGAAAUCAAUCGAGUUUUUUUGCUAAUGGCAAAUUGCAUUUCUGCCGCGAUGAAAAAUUCCGUGCGGUGAACUUUGUAUUAGUUUUCAACUCUCUCUCUCUCGCGCGCGCGUGUGGUGUACUAUAAAAAAGUUCGGAGAGAGUGAUAUUUUUAAAUUUUCAGCGGGAACUCGAGCUUUUUUUUUUGAAAAAUUCGAAAGAAAAAUUCUCGCGAAUGUAAAAGUGGAGCUGUAAGCCAGUUUUAAUUGCUCGAUAAAUUAAAGCAAGAAAGUUCGUCUUCUUUCAAAAUUCCACUGUGGGGAAGAGCCUCGGAGACCUCGUCUGUACGCACAUCGUAGCCGCUGAACUAUUCAGCGCACGUAAACGGCUUACGCGCGGAAAUCGCGGCUCUCUCUCUCUCUCUAGGACUAUUGUUAUAUACAAGAAAAGUUUCCUCUCGACGAUAUUCCUCUGUGUGCACAAGGGCGUUUCCGAAAGGAAAAAAAUCGCGCACAAUCGUCGCACUGUAUCAUCACUCGAAGAACCUACUGUGAGAUCGUAGCACAAUGCAAGUGUGAUGACACAGAGAGGAGAACGACAACACUAUGGUGUAGCCGUACACCUGCGCGCACGUGUCGCCGGAGCCAGAUCACUCGCGCACAGGCUCUCUCUCUCUCUCUCUCUCUCUCUCUCUCUCUCUCUCUCCCUCGAGCGGGCGGGCGGGCUUACGCUGCGGCGUCGCGACGUCGACUGAACUGCUAUUUUGCCGCGGGAGAGAGAGUCGAGAGAUGGAUCGCGGAGGAGGGAAGAGGGCGCGAAGCGCGCGCAUGUACAUGGGGGGAUUUUAAUGGAAAUACAUUUUUGAUUAACGGAGGGGAUUGUGGUUAUGAGGGAUGUGUGAUUAAACGGUGUGAUUUCGUAUCAAAAUUUAAUUAUUGAUUAGAGGUGAUAUCUUAUUGAAAAUUAAAGUAAAGCUUUAUUCUAUAGCGUAUUACUUCCUGAGAUCACAGCGCUGAAUAAAAAUUUGAAUUUCCCGGUCAAAGCUUUCGAGCUUGGAUAAUCAUUCUGUAGCUAAUACAAUGCCAGUAAUCUCCGAAAGCCCUAAACGCGGUCCAUAACAUAAUAAUAAGAGGGUGGACCACCCAGUGAGAAUAUUUAAAGACUCCGUUUAACGACUCGCCAAACCGCCCCUAUACUUCUAAAAAGCGUGUGUUAGACGGCGAUAACGCCUGCAAGCGCAAGCAUCAGCGAAAAAUUUUUUCUCCACCGUAGAACCCUAAGAGCCUUCGUUACAAUGUAAAAAUGCUGAUUCGCCGCACUUUUCUCGGGCUAAUUUUUCCUUUUUCCUUAGCUACGUUUCACUAGGACCAAACGACUUAUCAUAUUGUAUUUUGUUUCCACCGCCGUGUCCUUUAGGCUCCUUCACUUUUCGUCUCGAGAGAUAGAGAAGAUUUUCAAAGGAUUUCCCGGAAACGAAAUCUAGAAGAGCUCGCCCCUUUGGUAUAGGAUAUAUAAAGAAUACAAGUGGCGAAAAUCAGGACGCCUUGGAAUAAAUCCUACUCACGGUCAAAGGGAUGAAGCAAAGCGCACGUGUGUGUGUGUAUAUAUUGUUUUGUCGUAAUAACGAAAUUCUUUUGUACCGCUUCUUUUGUUUGCCGUACGUCGAAAAAGCUUUGUCAAUCUUUUUUCACGCUCGACUAAUAAAAAUUUAAAAGAAGAAAUAGAGCCACGCGGAAACCAAAAAGCACAGCGUAAGCCAAUUACUGUUCCGGGAAAAUACACGUGCCGACGACUACAUCCGAGCUUUAAUUAUCCUGCGACUGAUUAUGUGUAUUAUGUCGAAGAACACAACAAAAAUUCACACUUUACGGAUAACUAGACCGAACACGUGUGCGUCGCGGGAAUUUCAAAAGUUGCGAAUAAUCCUGACGACUAUAUAUAUAUGCAUAAGCCUCCUCGCACAGUAGUAUACAACCAGGUCAGCCGGCUGCAGUUGUCCGCAAGGGCGUUUUGUUUAAAAGUCGUGCUGGAUUUCGGUCAAUUACCGGGGAGCCAACCGGCGCACGCUAUGCACGCGUAUAUAUAUGCGCUAGCUGUGCAUCGAUCAGCUGAGUCCAGAGCCAAGAUCAUUCCUCCGAAUGCCUGGGACUCAUGGGACGCCUCGUACACGUGUAUGCGUGGGGAAUGGGAAAUUACAUUUUGAUUGGAGCCCUAUGACGAAGGUUGCUUUCUUUCUUGCAAAUUUUAUUGCUUUUCGCCUUCGCAGUUAUCGUCGUUUUUAUCGUACAUUUAUGGAAUAUCAUGCGUGGUUUGAAUCGUUGACUGUAGACGAUUGACGAGGCCGAAUCGAUUUGAGGUACGUGAACGUGUAUUUCAUUUUAUCGAGCGGUACAUGCAUGGAUAAAUCGAAAGAAUUAAAAACCGAUAGAAAACAACGCUUCAGCGUCAUACGCGUCCCUGAACGUAUAACGUUUUGAUUGUUUCGCCAAAUUACCGAUUCAAGGAACAAUCUUUUCCAAUUAACGUGUGUAUUUAAUUUUCGUUACAUUAUCGCAGUAUUGUUGUUUACCCGACAAAACUAAAAUACUACACUAUUUCAAACUUUGUACAUACGCGCCUUUUGUACAGCGAUAUUUCUCCAAAGAAAUAUUUCAAUAUCAAGCGAGCGUAUUUUUCAAUCGAAACAACGCUAAAUGGCCCGAGGCGUUUCCGAACAGUGCCAUCGGGUCACGGCACGUCGUAUCGUAUCGUUUUUCGAUAGACGCUUAUUCGCAUCGCUUUCCACGCACAAGACGAUCUGUAUAAGCGUAGAAGGCCAAAAAUUUUAAAAAAAGCGCCGAGCUUUCAAAAUUUACGAAUAAAAGCAUCGAAGCCUCUCUCGGGACGUUCAUUUCGAGUGAUAUACCGCGUGGCGAAGUAGAAAUGCGCGAUUCCGAUCAGACGCGCGAGCGAUACGAGCUUCGCUGGAAAAAUGGAACGCCUCGCGCUCUUUAUUAGGUCUAAUGCUGGAAUAGGCAAUUUCGUUCUUUCUUAUAUUCCCAUCUACUUACAUCGAUCCGCACCGGAGAUAUACGUUAUACGCAAUUUGAAUUUCUCGAUAAGUAUUAUACCGCGCGCGUGUUUUCACCGAAAAGCUCUACGUUCCAUAUAUCUCGUUCGCGAGAAAAGCUCUCUUUUUUCGAAUUUCCGCAAAAAACAGCGAAUAGCCCGGCUGAUUCAAAACGUCGUGACGACGUGUGCGACACGCGGUUAUACACGUAACAGCGUCGAGCUCGCGCUCUGGUAAGUAUUAUUUUCGUCUUCCCAGUCAUUCGGCAGAAAUUUCUCCCGCUGCUGUCUCUCGUCUUCUUCCCGCGCUUGCUUUUCUUUUUUGCUUCUCAUUUUCACCGCCGGCCGCGAUAAAUUCGUCGCGCUAAUGAUAAAUCCGAGAAGUGGACUAGAGGGAAUGUCUGAGCUGAAAAAGCUCUCAUAUGAGUGUAGCGUAUAGGGCGUAUACGAAAAUAAAGCUCGCAAGCUCAGAACGUGGAGCUUUUUUAGGGCCGUUCGACUGGCCGUUUUACGGAUGGACUGAAUUUUUUACAGGUUUAAAUACGACGAGUUCCCGGUACACGAGCACGCGUCGGGAUUGCAAAAGCUUCCGAUAAUCGCGAUCCGAAAGUCCGGGAUUAUGUGACUUCGUGGAAUUCCAUUCGUCUCCGAUUCUUUUUUCCCCGUGACACACGUUAAAUACGAGUGUUUUUGUUGUUCCAAGCCUGACGCGCGUGUGAGUUUUCGAUUAUUAUUAGAAACUCGAGCAUCGGCGCCGCGGCCGACAUAUCCAGCGAUAGCUCGGCAUUUUAAUAAGCGUAAACCAGUCGAGCUAACGAGAUGCUCCUCCUCUCUCGUAAUUUAUUUAUAACAAUGACUUGGAUUAUGCAACUUUUCCCGGCAUAAAAAUAUCCUACAGUCGUAUACUCCUCGGCUUUCAACUAUACUUCUUUUCGGAACCAGUCGGGCGGAGAUAACGAGUUUUCGAAAACUUGAAAUAAUAAUUCGUCUCUCUGUUUCCUGAAGUUGUAUAGCUGAGCUUCAGGGUAUUUUUUAUUUCGAGUUUUUCGCGGGGAAACAGUCGAAAACUUUCGAUAACUUAGUUUUUUCCUGGUGUAGCGCCAGACUCGAACAGCUGACGUAUCGGAUGGGAAACAGGGAUUAAGUUGCUCGAAACUUUCGGCUCUGUGUUGACACGGCUGCAUCUGUCUUUUCUUCGCUGAAAAGGAUGAGAAGCUAUUAAACCGAAACUCACAACAGUUAGACGUUCUUAUUUUAGACGCUCUUGGGUCAUUCAUCUCUUCCGCUUGAUUUUUCAUAAUUUUAUUAUUAGCCAAUCGCUAUACCAAUAUGACUCUGACAAUAGAAGUUGGUAUCAAAAGUCAAAGCCACAGCGUUAUCAAUAAAGCUUCCUCCCACAAAGCUCUCGAAGCAAUCAAAGCGCGGGAAAACGUCGAACUUCAAAGGCACUGGACGGAUUAGUCUCUCAGCGAUUACCUGUAUACGUUAUACCGCCUGAAGCAACACAGGUACACACGUAUAGACUAUACGAACGUCGUCCCUCGAUAAUUUCAGCCAAUUAUGCAUCGAAUCGAUUAGUCUCUCUCUCACCUUAUCCUGGCACAGGUCGACGAGAGGACGAGAAUAUAUAUAUACCGACAGUGGCAGUAGGGGCCGUUGGAUUAUAUUAUUAUACGCUCGAUUCUGCAGGAUGAAACGAGGGAUUACGAGGUGCGUGUAGCUCGUGCGAUAGCGGGCGAUUAUAUGGUCGCGCGAGAUGCGUUUGCGUGCGUUAAAUACCGCGUGUUGCGUUGACGUACGGGGAUUCCCCCCCGGAUUUGUUGGGGCUGAUCCGCGUGAUUUGUAGAGAUGCGUCGGUCGAUUUUACUGGGCUGCAAAUAGAUCGCGCAUGAACGCUGUUUUCGAAUCGAUUAUUAAUUUUUUUUAUUUGGAUUGGUUGAUCAUUGAAUUAUUAAAAAAAUUCUAAGUAUUUAAAAAAAUAUACAUCCCCUCUAAAAAAAGUGAUGGCCUAUGUAUUGAAGCAUUUGUUGUGAAGCAUUUAAUACGUCCCGAGUAGAAAGCCAAUCCGGAUAACCUUAGUUUUAAUUAGGCCCUGAACAGGCUCGCCUGUAUAAAACUUCAGGCGCUACAUCAGGCAUAAGACCCCGCCAAGAUCCGGUCCUGCUCCGGAUUUUCUGUUAAAAAAUUCUUUUCUAAUCAGCACCGUACAGUUGCCGGAACACUCCCUUAAUGCUGAAAGUUUUCUGUACCACGUAUUAGUGCCAUAUCAUUGCCGGAGCAUGUCCUUAAAAAAUGCAACAUAACCUGUGUAACAUAGCAUAGUACUGUAAGUGCAUCGAUAGCAUCAGCUAAAUAAAUAUUGUUAAUAUUAAAAGUAUAUUUGAUAAUACAGGCAAUAUGGACAUUCAUUAUGUAUAGAGUUGCAGAGAGCAGGAAACUAAGAAAUCGUAACUAUCAACUAAACUGUUAUUAUAUUUAACGACAUAUUUAUAAUUUUUUACAGAAAGCUCACCUUAUAUGCACUGUUAAUGCAGAUAAUAAGGAAUUUCUGGAUGAAUUAACAAAAUUAUUGAAAAAAUUUUUGUCCAGGGAAAUACUUACGUCUCACACAGCACAAAGAUUAAGUAGUACAAAGAAACCUAUUUUUAAGUCAACUAAUUUUUAUAUAUGUUUGAAAGAUUCACUUAAGCAUGUGUAUUCGGGAAAAAUGUUAUAGAAGAUGAGGUGUUAUGUAAAAUAAUUGGGGCUAUCAUUAAUAAUGCCUACGAUUGGGAAGGUCAUAGGCAUAAAAGGCAAAGACUAAAUAUUAAGUUUUUUUAAAAAGUUUUGUAUUUCUGUAACAAAGUUUUGUAUAAGUUGUCCUUAUUUCAAUCGAAAAUUUGUAUUUUACAUAAUAUAAGAAAAAUAAAUAAAUAAAAUGUUUAAUGCAA